UACAGAGGUCUCAAGCGUUGUUCGGAUUCAUUGGGCGUAAAGGGUGCGUAGGCGGCGCGGUAAGUCGGGUGUGAAAUCUUGGAGCUUAACUCCGAAACUGCAUUCGAUACUGCCGUGCUUGAGGACUGGAGAGGAGACUGGAAUUUACGGUGUAGCGGUGAAAUGCGUAGAUAUCGGGAGGAACACCGGUGGCGAAGGCGGUUCUCUGGGCCUGACCUGACGCUGAGGAGCGAAAGCGUGGGGAGCGAACAGG
rnacentral:rRNA from 1 species